ensembl:lncRNA
UAGAAAUUCAGUUUAGUACUUUGCAACUACUAACUCCCAGAGUAUCACCGUUUGAAAUAUAACGAUGUCUUGCUUUUAAAUGUUUUUCUUAAAAGUGUGCUUAAGAUCCUUCAUUAAAAUAAAUGCUACUUGGUUUUUAUAUUAGUCAUUCAUGGAUUUCAAGGCGUGUCUAAAGUCUUUUUAAGUGCACAUGGGAAACCCGUUCUAAUCGGAAACAUAACACGGAAGUAGCCUGAACAAAACAAUUGUACACUAUAAAGCCAACUCACAUGCAUACGUGUAAAAUGAUACAAAUAAUUAGUGUCUCUUGUUUUCAUAAAAAGAAACAGAGUUUUUAUCCCUGCUGUAAAUGGCAACUCUACACCUGUCAGUGUUCUUCUUCGGACAAACACUUUUCUGUGGGCGUAAGGGUCAGUAGUGCGCCAUUGAUUUAAAAGGCCUUGACCAGCGCGCUCUUUUCUCAUUGGCUGAUGGGCGGAGUUUGUUUGGCCAAUGAACGCAGACUUUAGUUAAAGACACUGCAGCAAUGCGUUGAGCAGGACGCGCUACAAACUUCACUUUCAAUGGAUGUUUGUCUUAUUUUAAAGACUGAUGUUAGUUAAAAUUACAGCAGAACAGCGAAGGGAGUUCUCUCGGGCGCUUAGCAGUGGCUCAGAUAAGGUGUCCUUCAGCAUAUCAUUAGUUAAAGAUAAUUAACGUGAUGUUUUAGGGCAAUGGAGAGUGAGCAGUCAGGAACAUUUGGAGGCGGCGGAGAAGAUUCAUCAGGCUCCGACACGCUGUCAGAGGGCGAGACGCAAGCAGAGCCGUAUGAAUCCCAGUUACACUUUGAGGAUUUUAAAUGUCAAUCCUCAGAUUUUGUAGGUCUUGACGACAAAGUGAAGGGAAUUGAUUCUGAUGAAUGCAGCAACGAGAUAAAAGCGAGAAAUGGGGAUUACCAAGAAGAGGGAGAAAAUGAUGGAGACGAGGACGAAAUGGAAGAAGUGGACGUGUUAUAGAAAUCAUCAUUAUGCCACAAAUGUUGUAGAUUGAGCUUGACUGAACUGAACCCAGAAUGUUGAACAGUGAAUCUGCAUGGUGUGGUUUGAUGUUUGCUAGUAGGCACACUGUCAUCUGGCAUACUUCUCUGACAUUUUGGGAGUUCCUUCAUGAAUGAACAUGUCCAAAUAAUGAUGAAGAGCAAUUUCCUUUUCCUCCAAAUAUAAGAAAUGUGCAAGCAUGUGUACUCGACCAUGCUUCUAAAAACCACACAUCAGUUUAUAUCCAGAGGGAGGUUUUGUCAACACAGAAAACAAGGCUUUGCUACUGAGAUUUAGUAGGGCUGUUGACACCAGUAAAACUUCAGGGGAAAGGAGCAGUGCAGUGUGAGGGGUGACAUGCCUCUUUUAGGGCAGCAGGAACUUCUGUGACACCGGGACGUUCUGGUGAGGCUGACCCAGCAGCACAGCACAGCACAGUAAUGUGAGCUGUUUAACCUUCAGAGGAACAUGAUUUAGUUGGAAAUGGAGCAGGGGAAAUGUUAAGGUCAGGCAGAUGUACAGUUAUGAUGUUAGCUGCUGCACUGGAGUUGGCUUCUCAAUCUUGGCAAAAAAGACACAAAAAAUAUACAAAUGAAACAAACUGUGCUGUUUAUUAUGCAAGUCUCAAGUAGCCUAUUCAGUUAACAGAAAUUAAUAAUCAAAUGUAAAAUAAAACAGCAUAGUCUUCACUGUAAAAAUUAAAC